rnacentral:rRNA from 1 species
AUGCCUCCCACGGUCACACCUAUGCUGUCCGCAUGCACCACGCGAGAAGAUAAACAAAUGGCAUCAAGUUCCCCGCCCAAAGAGCCAAUGCCAGGAAAGCAACGUCUUUUUCUAGACAGCGCCGAGCUCUGCUCCUGCUACAUAUCUCAUCGAUCACCAGUGCGCACGCUCUUGGAUUAUACAUGGUUCAUAACUCAUAAGCAUCUGUCCCGCGGCACCAGAGGGGGCAGGAUGUUCCGAGCAGUGAAGCAUGCCGUCGUCUGGGCGAAGAAGAGCCGAGCGCGAGCUGAGCCCGCGGCCUUGUCUGCCUUCGCCAGCCACUUCUCCGCGGCUUCCACCUCGCAGAGGUUGGCCGGGAAGGUCGCCGUGAUCACCGGCGGCGCCAGCGGCCUCGGCAAGGCGACUGCCGCGGAGUUCGUCAGGAACGGCGCCAAGGUCGUCCUCGCCGACGUCCAGGACGACCUCGGCCACGCCGUCGCCGCCGAGCUCGGCCAUGACUCCGCAUGCUACACGCGCUGCGACGUGACGGACGAGGCGCAGGUCGCCGCGGCCGUGGACCUCGCCGUGGCGCGGCACGGCCGGCUCGACGUCAUGUUCAACAACGCCGGCAUCAGCGGCGCCCUCACGCCCGUCCCCCUCGGCUCCCUGGACCUCGCCGACUUCGACCGCGUCAUGGCGGUGAACGCGCGGGCCGUGCUCGCGGGCGUCAAGCACGCCGCGCGCGUCAUGGUCCCUCGCCGCAGCGGCAGCAUCAUCUGCACGGCCAGCACGGCGGCGGUGCUGGGUGGCGUGGCGUUCCCGGCGUACAGCGUGUCGAAGGCGGCGGUGGUGGGGCUCGUGCGCGCCGUGGCGGGGGAGAUGGCGCGCGCCGGGGUGCGCGUGAACGCCAUCUCGCCCAACUACAUCCCGACGCCGAUGGUGAUGGGGUACAUGGCCGAGUCCUACCCCGGGGCGAGCGCCGAGGAGCGCAGGCGGAUCGUGGAGAGGGACAUGAACGAGAUGGGCGGGCCGGCGCUCGCGGCGGAGGACGUCGCCCGCGCGGCGGUGUACCUGGCGUCCGACGAGGCCGGGUACGUGAACGGGCAUAACCUCGUGGUCGACGGCGGGUUCACCGUCGGCAAGGCGCCGAAAAUGCCGGCGCCGUGA